GCGGGCGGAUCGCUUCAGCCCGGGGCGCCGGGUCUCUGCGUGCAGCGGCCCAGGGUCUUCCCAGUGGGGGAGUGGGGACGCCAAGGCUGGUGGGCUCGCACACACCUGGCAGAAGGGAAAGCCUGGAGCGAAUCCACGUCCAAAUCCUAAUGCUACUCUGGUCAUCGUACCUUGAUUAUUAUUUGCAUCCUGCGUUGGAAGUAAUGCCCGAAUCUAGUGUGCUGUGUGCUUCGUGACACAGGUAAAGCAGUCCUCAACUUGGGGUUAGUCCUUGUCACUACGAAGAGGUGCACAAUUUGAGGCUCAAAAUAUGCAUCUGCUUUGAAAGACAAUUUGCAAUGUGUUAAGACAUUUUAAAAGCGUUAUUUAAAAAGUUAGAGUCAUGAAAUUUGAAGAUUUAAACUUUUAAAAUAAAAUUUUAAUUGUACACGGUUUUAGAAAAGGUGGUAAUAAACAUCUGUCUCAUACUUUAAAGAAAAGUAUGACUCCCUGCUAAUAACCCAGAUCUCCAGCCCUCUUCCCCAGGGGCAAUUACUGUUAAGUCUGUCUAUUCUAACAGGAUCUUGCCAUUCACAAGUUCAUGUCUCUCUUUUUUCUUUUUUUGCACAAAUGGUAUUUGGGGUAUAUUUAUUUUUCUUCAAAAGAUAUUCAAAAACAGAAACAUUUCCCUUUAUAAUGUUAAUUAAAAUGCAAAAGAUAUAUACAUAUAUAUACUCCUACAUACACAUAUAUAUCUGAAUAUGCAUGCAUUAUGAGUAUACAUAACUUUAAUGCACUUAGGUUUUUUGGUUUAAAUCUUGAAGAUAGUUAAAUUCAGCAGCACUAGAUCUAUCUCAGCCUUCUGAAGGGUUUUUUUAAUUUCAAUCCCAUUUCCCAUGAGGGGGGAGAAAUGCAGCUAAGUAAGUUGACUGCAGGCCACACCUGGCAGAGAGGACCGUUGAGGAGGGAGACCCAGAUGCCAGCCCCGGGGCAGGCAACAGGUCGGUAUUAUUGCUCUAGAGCUGUUUUUGUCGUUCUCUGAUCUUUUCCAGCCACCGGCUGUUUUCAUGUGUGUUUUCAUGUGGUUGUUUUCACAGUGCAGAAACAAUUUUGCCUGCUUCUCUCCCUUAACGUUGCUGUAAACAAGUUUCCCAUGUCAUGCAGAACUAUGACUGGAGACGUGCUAUUUCACACUGCUCAUGUGCCAAGGUUACGUGACCAUGCCCUCGUGUGCAAUACUAAGUUUAUUUCAAACCGUUAUUCUAAAAGAUGCUGCAGUGUAUACUCUACAUGGACUAUGCAGCAGUCAGAAACAAUGAACUAAAGCUACACAUAGCAACAUAGAUGUUUUAUAACAAGAGGAAAAAGAAGCAGGAAGAGAUUUCAUGGCAGAAAACCACAUAGGUAAAUUUACACACAAAACAAUAUCACAUCUUUUACAAGGAUAUAUGUACAUCUAGGCUAUGUAUCAAACACAAGAAAUAGGUGUCUUUAAAAGGAAGGGAUAUGUGAUAAGGGACGGAUAAAGAAUGAGAAGGCAAGACAAAUCAAAAGAGCCAGGGAGUUCCCGUUGUGGCGCAGCAGAAAUGAAUCCAACUAAGAACCAUGAGGUUGCGGGUUCAAUCCCCGGCCUUGCUCAGUGGCUUAAGGAUCCGGCAUUGCCAUGAGCUGUGGUGUAGGUCACAGAUGUGGCUCGGAUCUGGCAUUGCUGUGGCUGUGGUGUAGGCCAGUGGCAACAGCUCCAAUUAGACCCCUAGCUUGGGAACCUC
rnacentral:lncRNA from 1 species